rnacentral:rRNA from 1 species
UACGUAGGGUGCGAGCGUUGUCCGGAAUUAUUGGGCGUAAAGAGCUUGUAGGCGGUUUGUCGCGUCUGCCGUGAAAAUCCGGGGCUCAACCCCGGACUUGCGGUGGGUACGGGCAGACUAGAGUGUGGUAGGGGAGACUGGAAUCCUGGUGUAGCGGUGAAAUGCGCAGAUAUCAGGAGGAACACCGAUGGCGAAGGCAGGUCUCUGGGCCACUACUGACGCUGAGAAGCGAAAGCGUGGGGAGCGAACAGG